AUAGUCCUCUUUAGGCCUUUCAUCAAGUAAUCUGCAAAAUUUCUGAUCAGAUUGGAAAAAACUCAAAAAUAAUAAUAUCAUGAGAGGUUAGUCAUCUAACAUACUUCUAUUUUAAUUUAAUAUGUCAGUUAAUUUUAGAAUUUACUAAUUUUAUUUACAAGCUAAACAUUAGGAUAAACAAAAUGAAAUCACGAGGGCAAUUAUAAUAUCAAAAUUUAUCAAACUGAUAAAAGAGCUUCCCCCACAAUUUCUGAGAUAUACUAAAAUUUAAAAUUAUGAAAUUUAAUUUUGUUUAAUAAAGUUCGGUUCAACAGCAAAUAGAUGGCAGAAACAAUUUUUUUUUUUUUUAAAAUUGAUUUCAAUUA
rnacentral:lncRNA from 1 species